rnacentral:rRNA from 1 species
UAGUCAUAUGCUUGUCUCAAAGAUUAAGCCAUGCAUGUCUCAGUGUAAACUUUUAAACAGUGAAACUGCGAAUGGCUCAUUAAAACAGUUAUAGUUUAUUUGAUAAUCAUUUUUACAUGGAUAACCGUGGGAAUUCUAGGGCUAAUACAUGCGUAAAACCGCAAGGUUUGUGUUUAUUAGAUAAAAACUAACGCCGUGGCAACACGGUAAUGUUGGAAUGAUAAUAACCGAUCGAAUCGCAUACUUUAUGUAGCGAUGAAUCAUUCGAGUUUCUGAC